rnacentral:sRNA from 1 species
GCUGUUCUUGCCCUGACAUUCCAUAUUCUGUGUCUCUGCAGACCACCAUCAUGGCAGUGGAGUUUGACGGGGGCGUUGUGAUGGGUUCUGAUUCCCGAGUGUCUGCAGGCGAGGCGGUGGUGAACCGAGUGUUUGACAAGCUGUCCCCCCUGCACGAGCGCAUCUACUGUGCACUCUCUGGUUCAGCUGCUGAUGCCCAAGCCGUGGCCGACAUGGCCGCCUACCAGCUGGAGCUCCAUGGGAUAGAACUGGAGGAACCUCCACUUGUUUUGGCUGCUGCAAAUGUGGUGAGAAAUAUCAGUUAUAAAUAUCGAGAGGACUUGUCUGCACAUCUCAUGGUAGCUGGCUGGGACCAACGUGAAGGGGGUCAGGUAUAUGGAACCCUGGGAGGAAUGCUGACUCGACAGCCUUUUGCCAUUGGUGGCUCCGGCAGCACCUUUAUCUAUGGUUAUGUGGAUGCAGCAUAUAAGCCAGGCAUGUCUCCCGAGGAGUGCAGGCGCUUCACCACAGACGGUAACCAGCCAAGUGGAAGGGUACCUGGGGAGGGCUUUUAAACAUGGGAAGGAAGUAGAUUAUGAGGAACAGGAAGAGAAAUACAGGGGUGACCAUUUAAGUUAAUGCCGGGCCUGGUACACUUUUAAGAGUGAAAAGGGGCAGGACAAAUGCAAAGCUCAAUGGGGCUCUUGGGCAAUACGGAUAAACCAGGGCUGUUCUGAGUAAAUCAAAUGAG